AGGGGGAGUAAUGUGUGUUGUACUCUUUUUCCUGUCCUUGGUUUCCCUUUUUACCACAUUGGGUUUUGGGUUUUCCGGGAGAGGUUUUAAUGAGGCAACGUUAGCACAUUACAAGCCCGAUAUGGUUAUGGCAUCCAAGGGGGAGUGUUAUAAAUCCAUGAUAUGGAUAUGUGGAUUGCCAUUAACCAUCAAGGAGGUUUACAUCCGUCCAGGCUAUCCAGUCCGUCUACACCCGUCUCCGGUUCGUCUCAUCCGUCCAAGACUAGUCAAGAUGAAGACUCAUUCAACCGGAGCAUUUAUGAGCUUUGACCAAGUCUAGAUAUUUGUAGUCAAAUGUAUUAAAUGUGUAGAUUCUCUCCUUUGUGUAAACCCUUAUGAACCUCCACUAUAUAUUGAUAGUGAGAGCUAAUGAGAAAUACACAACUUUCACAACAACACUUCUCUCAUAUUUCUAACACAAUGUUGUUUCUCCCAUCCCAAACACACAACGCAAUAAACAAUAAGCUCUGUUUUACUUUUUUUUUUUUUUUUGUAACAAUAAGUAUAAUGUUUGUUUGCAGGUGGAGAAGAGGUCAUAAAAGGUCUCAGUAAGGUGUUGAAGGGAUGCGAGCUGGUGAUAAGAGAAGACUCAUAAUUCCACCAUCUCUUGGAUACACAGAGGAAGGAUUGAACAAGGAAGAUGUGCCUAAGAAUUCGUGGCUUAUCUAUGAAGUAGAGGCAGUAAAAGUGAGAUGAUGACAUUGGCUGGCUCUUUUUACCUUUUGAAACAAACAAGCUUUAAGCUUCUUUCUUUUUUUGAUUUUUUAGCAUUCCGCUUAACUCAGCCACAUGGUUAUAUAUUAUAAUUUUUUCGGUCAACAAGAUGGAAAGUUGUUUGUUUGAAAUUUUUUCGUCAGUGUAAUUUAUCGUCACCUCACU